UACGGGGGGAGCAAGCGUUGUUCGGAUUUACUGGGCGUAAAGGGCGCGUAGGCGGUCAGCACAAGUCAGUUGUGAAAUCUCCGGGCUUAACUCGGAAAGGUCAACUGAUACUGUGCGACUAGAGUGCAGAAGGGGCAACUGGAAUUCUCGGUGUAGCGGUGAAAUGCGUAGAUAUCGGGAGGAACACCUGUGGCGAAGGCGGCCCCCUGGUUGGAUACUGACGCUGAUACGCGAAAGCGUGGGGAGCAAACAGG
rnacentral:rRNA from 1 species